GGGUCAAAGGUUCUUUUUUACUCCAUGCCUUACGUGCUCUUUUUAGGCUCUUUGGUUUGGAAAUACCUAUCCUUCUUCUUUCGCUCGUCGCUUUGGUAGGCGGUUGCAGCAGCUUUCAAAUGGAGGAUAAUUCCGCUGGAGGAAGGGCGGUGGAUUCAGGGUCGGGGUCGGAUAAUUGGCAAAAGUACCUCAACUUAUCCGAGGAAAAUGACUCCGCCGCAUCAGCCUCUCCCCCGUCGUCCUCUUUUUUCAGAGGACUUUCGGACAUGUCCCCUGCACCGGACCUUGGGGAGGAAGUGCAGCAAGUGAGCCCUACUCAUUCCAUUUCCCAAACGGAUCUAUGGAAUUCACCUUCCUCGUCGGCUCCAACCCCAGGUCAGGAUAAUCAACCGCCCCUGAUCCCAGAGCUCCACCCUCCGCUUCUCGAUGACGACACCCGUCGAGCGGAGCUCGCGAGUAGGUUAAGAACCGUUUUAUGGGGGAAAGCUUAUAGGGAAG
rnacentral:misc_RNA from 1 species